rnacentral:rRNA from 1 species
GAUGAACGCUGGCGGCGUGCCUAAUACAUGCAAGUCGAGCGAACGGACGAGAAGCUUGCUUCUCUGAUGUUAGCGGCGGACGGGUGAGUAACACGUGGAUAACCUACCUAUAAGACUGGGAUAACUUCGGGAAACCGGAGCUAAUACCGGAUAAUAUUUUGAACCGCAUGGUUCAAAAGUGAAAGACGGUCUUGCUGUCACUUAUAGAUGGAUCCGCGCUGCAUUAGCUAGUUGGUAAGGUAACGGCUUACCAAGGCAACGAUGCAUAGCCGACCUGAGAGGGUGAUCGGCCACACUGGAACUGAGACACGGUCCAGACUCCUACGGGAGGCAGCAGUAGGGAAUCUUCCGCAAUGGGCGAAAGCCUGACGGAGCAACGCCGCGUGAGCGAUGAAGGUCUUCGGAUCGUAAAACUCUGUUAUUAGGGAAGAACAUAUGUGUAAGUAACUGUGCACAUCUUGACGGUACCUAAUCAGAAAGCCACGGCUAACUACGUGCCAGCAGCCGCGGUAAUACGUAGGUGGCAAGCGUUAUCCGGAAUUAUUGGGCGUAAAGCGCGCGUAGGCGGUUUUUUAAGUCUGAUGUGAAAGCCCACGGCUCAACCGUGGAGGGUCAUUGGAAACUGGAAAACUUGAGUGCAGAAGAGGAAAGUGGAAUUCCAUGUGUAGCGGUGAAAUGCGCAGAGAUAUGGAGGAACACCAGUGGCGAAGGCGACUUUCUGGUCUGUAACUGACGCUGAUGUGCGAAAGCGUGGGGAUCAAACAGG